ensembl:snRNA U6 U6 spliceosomal RNA
GUUUGUACUCUUUCACCAGCAUAUGCUUUAAAUUGGAUCGAUAGAGAGCAGAUAAGCAUAAGCAUGGCUGCUGCCUAAGGAUGGCUCAGAAAUUCAUAAAGCAUUCCAUAUUUUG